CGGGCGCAGAUCAUGGACAACCUUAGCUGGAGGUGAGCCGCAAGCGGUGAGCCGGUGAGGGCCAGUAGUUUUAAGUUGUGCCGCAUGCCGCUGUGGGAAACAAGGUCAUCCGCCCCGUCGGCCGCAGCGGCGGACCGACAGCAGAUGGCAGCGUUAGUGGAGCAGGAGGCGAGGAUAGGACCUUCUCGUCGUCCGACAUGGCCGGCGACGGUGCACUCGACCAUUGCCGGUAGCAGUGUCGAAGCUAUAGGGGGUGCCGAACUGGGCCUGGCACCCCCCAAUGGCCCAUGAACGAUUCCCCACCCCCGACAAAGCCCAUCUGGCCAUCUGCGCAGCUGCCCAGCCCAUUAGCACUUGGAGUCUCGAUAUACGGGAGAGAGUCAAGCGAUACCUCGGCUUCGUCGUGAAGUCCCAUCGCUUGCGAGAUGGCUAACGGGCGAUCGCUAGGGGCCGGCCUUCAGUUUCUCAAGCACGCAGCACCGACGCAUCGUUUCCGGUCUCCCUCGUCCCGUCCGGCGCUAAUCGGCGAUCAGCCGAUUGCAGUCUCGUGGCGACGCGGCCAGCCGCCGAUAGAGUGGCUGCUCGAGGCACCAAGCAGGAGCUAGGAGCAAGCAAUCCAACAGAGGUGGUCUGCAGAACAUGCGCACAUCUUCUGAGCUCACGGACCAGGUUCCACCUAUCUGUUGGCUGCUGCUUUUUGCUACAUCAAAAUUGCUAGGUGUUUAGCUAAGAUGAAGAGGAAGAUAACAACGAUUGAUUGCUUUUACAAGCCAGUGGCUCCAAGGGCAGGCUCUGUUGAAAAAUCCUAACCCAACUAAUGUGGAAGCUGUUGAUCCGGUUAAUCUGCAAUCUCCUAAUCAGAACAGUGCUGAACCUUUAGAGCUGAACAAGGAAUUGUAACUACGGCAUUUGAAAGGGACCCAGGGUGCCCAUCGAUCGGCUAGAGGAGGUGGAAGCGGUUUUGCUCGAUUUUUCUUGGGUUUUAGUUGAAGAUUGAAGCCUACAAGGUACCCAUUGAAUGUAAUGGAUCUGGAAUGGAUAACUACAGCGGAUCGUGGCUCUCGUUGCCGUGGCCACCAGCACAAACUUAGUUGAUGCACUGGAAUAAAUUUGGUGUCCAUGUCAUGAUUGCAAAAAAGACAGACAACUUUCGGCUCAACAGGUCCAUGCACAUCUUCUUACAAGGGGUUUUGUGGGCAACUUCCUUGGCGAGGAGGAGCAAGGUGAGGGAAGUGCCGGCAACUAUCACGGGCAUGAUGCAAAUGACGGCUGCGAGGAGGAGGAGGACCAAACGUGUGUCGAUCAUGGUGAACCUAUUCUAGAUCAGAUGCUGCGCGAUGGGGAGAGGUUUGGCACUGAUAAUAGGGAAUAUCGCAAGAUCACAACCAUGGUGAAGGACUCCAAAACUCUAGUUUACAAUGGAUGUAAGUAGGGGUGGACAGGAAGCUCGUGGCUCGUUAGCUCGCUCGGCUCGUGACAAGCCCGGCUCGGCUUCAUUUUUCUAACAAGCCGGGCUAGGAUUUUAGCUCGUUAGAGAUAACGAGCCAGCUCGAGCUGCUCGCGAGCCUUAACGAGCUAGGCCUUGACAAGUUAGCAGGCCGCAGCCCACAACUUUUAGACUUCAAAAAUUUUAGACUUACAAUCUUUUGAUUUAGGAAAUUUAAACUUAGCAUAUUUUGAGUUAGAAUAUAUAUUGAAAUGUUUAGGAUUUAAAGAUAGGAAUUUUUGGACCCAUGAGUUUUUAGACUUGGUGAAUUUUGACUUAGGGAUGAAAUUGGGGUCGUAUGGAAUUAGGGUUGUA